UAACUGAACUGCUAUACGAUAACUUGAC
rnacentral:sRNA from 1 species